UACGUAGGGGGCAAGCGUUGUCCGGAAUCAUUGGGCGUAAAGCGCGUGUAGGCGGCUGAGUAAGUCUGCUCUGAAAGCCCGGGGCUCAACCCCGGGAGGCGGGUGGAUACUGCUCAGCUCGAGUCCGGAAGAGGAGUGUGGAAUUCCUGGUGUAGCGGUGAAAUGCGCAGAUAUCAGGAGGAACACCGGUGGCGAAGGCGGUUCUCUGGGAAUGUCCUGACGCUGAGGAGCGAAAGUGUGGGGAGCGAACAGG
rnacentral:rRNA from 1 species